CAUUGUGGAAGACAGUGUGGCAAUUCCUCAAAGACCUAAAAACGGAAAUACCAUUCGACCCAGUAAUCCCUUUACUGGGUUGAUACCCAAAGGACCAUAAAU